rnacentral:rRNA from 1 species
GGCUAAGACCCAAUGUGCAAGUUCUGUGAAAGAUUUAUCGCCUCUAGAUGAGCUCGCGUCUGAUUAGCUAGUUGGUGAGGUAAAGGCUCACCAAGGCUCCGAUCAGUAGCUGGUCUGAGAGGAUGACCAGCCACACUGGGACUGAGACACGGCCCAGACUCCUACGGGAGGCAGCAGUGGGGAAUUUUCCGCAAUGGGCGAAAGCCUGACGGAGCAAGACCGCGUGAGGGAGGAAGGCUCUUGGGUUGUAAACCUCUUUUCUCAGGGAAGAACUCCAUGACGGUACCUGAGGAAUCAGCCUCGGCUAACUCCGUGCCAGCAGCCGCGGUAAUACGGAGGAGGCAAGCGUUAUCCGGAAUUAUUGGGCGUAAAGCGUCCGUAGGUGGUCAUGUAAGUCGGUCGUCAAAGCCAGAGGCUCAACCUCUGUCAGGCGGUGGAAACUGCAAGACUAGAGAGAGGUAGGGGUAGAGGGAAUUCCCAGUGUAGCGGUGAAAUGCGUAGAGAUUGGGAAGAACAUCGGUGGCGAAAGCGCUCUACUGGACCUUUU